GCCUUCGUGGUGUAAUGGUCAGCACGCUCGGUGAGUAUUCCACAGGUCCGUGGUUCGAGUCCCAGUGAAGGCG
rfam:Stegodyphus mimosarum contig87834, whole genome shotgun sequence.